UUUGCAUUGAGAGCCUAGGCUCAGCUUUCCUAGGCUCCCUGGUGCAGCCCUCCCUUUCCACCCCUCAGGCUGUUUCCUCCCUGUUUUCCUCAAAAGAAGAAUUCCAAACAAAAGAUCUACUACCCUGAGAAGCAGUGAAGUGCUCCUGGGGCCCAUCAAGGCCACACAAGUUAAGGAGUGGAUGGUCUUGCCCCAGCUAUGGCUCAGAUCACCUUUGCAGGAUGACAUUGUGUUGGGAGAUGGUCAUCAGAGCCAGGGCCAUGGAAGAUGCUGUCAGGAGGAG
rnacentral:lncRNA from 1 species